ensembl:lncRNA
AUACAGUUUUCUUUUAUUUGGAGGCUGGCACAGCUGUUCACUUGGAGAAGUGUCCCUCUCCACUCCAAUGAGCUGGUCUUGGAGCUACUUUACAAUAACAGCCUCUCCAGGUGGGGAACCCCCUGAUUGGGCUGGAGGUGGAGGAAACUGGCUUUUUAAGUGCCCACCCACAGCUCGGGAAGGGGCUGCACAGGAACACUUCACACCAAGCUGCUCAAAGUUCACCUGAGUGACAGAUUCUUUAGCAACAAUGUUCCUGAGAGGCUGGUGCCCUCUGAGAUAGAGUCUGCAAGACACCAGCUCCUGGUGAAUGCCGAGGCGGUGGCCCCGUUCCUGAUGCCCACAUGGUGCCCUGUGCCUGUUCUUCCUUCAGCAAUGCAAGGGCGACAGCAGGAUUCUAAAUACAGCUAUGAUCACUUUGGCUUUGGUGGACCCAAAUCGCCUGUAGCUGGCUCCCUUCCAGAUCCACUGGCUCUCCCAUUGCUGAGACUUGUCUGUGAGGACACAGAGGACCCCUUGCCUCUCCCCAGCCUGUCCCCUCCUCCUCUGCCCUCCUCCCAGGGCUGUGGGCAGGCUGCCCAGCACUGUCAGGCAGGGUGGCUGCUGCGGGCUCAGACACCCUGGGCCCAGGCUUGGCAGUGGGCGAGGGCACAGAUUGCAAGUUCUGGGGGAGGGGUGGUUGCAUUCAACACAUGUGGAAGGGUGUGACCCUGAUGGGCAAAGGAUGCUCCCAGCCCAGGCCAGGACCGAGACACCACUCCACCCAGAGCAGCUGGCCUGAGGAACUGAGCAGCACAGGGUCCCCAGGAUCCCCCAAGGGGCUCCUGUAUACAAGUCCCAGCUUGGUCAACCACGGCUUCUUGUUUCCCACGGCAUUGGAUGGAAGCUCUUUAGCCUUCUCGCCA